GACCGAUAGUGAACCAGUACCGUGAGGGAAAGGCGAAAAGAACCCCGGCGAGGGGAGUGAAAAAGAACCUGAAACCGUGUACGUACAAGCAGUGGGAGCACAGGUUUACCUGUGUGACUGCGUACCUUUUGUAUAAUGGGUCAGCGACUUAUAUUCUGUAGCAAGGUUAACCGUAUAGGGGAGCCGUAGGGAAACCGAGUCUUAACCGGGCGUUAAGUUGCAGGGUAUAGACCCGAAACCCGGUGAUCUAGCCAUGGGCAGGUUGAAGGUUGGGUAACACUAACUGGAGGACCGAACCGACUAAUGUUGAAAAAUUAGCGGAUGACCUGUGGCUGGGGGUGAAAGGCCAAUCAAACCGGGAGAUAGCUGGUUCUCCCCGAAAGCUAUUUAGGUAGCGCCUCGUGAAUUCAUCUCCGGGGGUAGAGCACUGUUUCGGCUAGGGGGCCAUCCCGGCUUACCAACCCGAUGCAAACUGCGAAUACCGGAGAAUGUUAUCACGGGAGACACACGGCGGGUGCUAACGUCCGUCGUGAAGAGGGAAACAACCCAGACCGCCAGCUAAGGUCCCAAAGUCAUGGUUAAGUGGGAAACGAUGUGGGAAGGCCCAGACAGCCAGGAUGUUGGCUUAGAAGCAGCCAUCAUUUAAAGAAAGCGUAAUAGCUCACUGGUCGAGUCGGCCUGCGCGGAAGAUGUAACGGGGCUAAACCAUGCACCGAAGCUGCGGCAGCGACACUGGUGUUGUUGGGUAGGGGAGCGUUCUGUAAGCCUGUGAAGGUGGCCUGUGAGGGUUGCUGGAGGUAUCAGAAGUGCGAAUGCUGACAUAAGUAACGAUAAAGCGGGUGAAAAGCCCGCUCGCCGGAAGACCAAGGGUUCCUGUCCAACGUUAAUCGGGGCAGGGUGAGUCGACCCCUAAGGCGAGGCCGAAAGGCGUAGUCGAUGGGAAACAGGUUAAUAUUCCUGUACUUGGUGUUACUGCGAAGGGGGGACGGAGAAGGCUAUGUUGGCCGGGCGACGGUUGUCCCGGUUUAAGCGUGUAGGCUGGUUUUCCAGGCAAAUCCGGAAAAUCAAGGCUGAGGCGUGAUGACGAGGCACUACGGUGCUGAAGCAACAAAUGCCCUGCUUCCAGGAAAAGCCUCUAAGCAUCAGGUAACAUCAAAUCGUACCCCAAACCGACACAGGUGGUCAGGUAGAGAAUACCAAGGCGCUUGAGAGAACUCGGGUGAAGGAACUAGGCAAAAUGGUGCCGUAACUUCGGGAGAAGGCACGCUGACAUGUAGGUGAAGUGAUUUACUCAUGGAGCUGAAGUCAGUCGAAGAUACCAGCUGGCUGCAACUGUUUAUUAAAAACACAGCACUGUGCAAACACGAAAGUGGACGUAUACGGUGUGACGCCUGCCCGGUGCCGGAAGGUUAAUUGAUGGGGUCAGCGCAAGCGAAGCUCCUGAUCGAAGCCCCGGUAAACGGCGGCCGUAACUAUAACGGUCCUAAGGUAGCGAAAUUCCUUGUCGGGUAAGUUCCGACCUGCACGAAUGGCGUAAUGAUGGCCAGGCUGUCUCCACCCGAGACUCAGUGAAAUUGAACUCGCUGUGAAGAUGCAGUGUACCCGCGGCAAGACGGAAAGACCCCGUGAACCUUUACUAUAGCUUGACACUGAACAUUGAGCCUUGAUGUGUAGGAUAGGUGGGAGGCUUUGAAGUGUGGACGCCAGUCUGCAUGGAGCCGACCUUGAAAUACCACCCUUUAAUGUUUGAUGUUCUAACGUGGACCCGU
rnacentral:rRNA from 1 species